AAGUCGUAACAAGGUAACCGUAGGUGAACCUGCGGUUGGAUCAUUACUGAAUUUUUAAAGGCUGCUUUAUGCAGCUCUUUAAUUAACCCCCUGUGAACGUUUAUCGUAUUUUGGCGGCCCUCCAAAAAGUGACUCGGUUUCGACCCUGUCAUUGGGCCGUCUACUUUUAAAACACCAAUGUUUAUUUAUAUUAUGUCACCAAUGAGUUUAUUGUAACUUGUUUUAUUAAUAAAAUACAACUUUUGACAACGGAUCUCUUGGCUCUC
rnacentral:misc_RNA from 1 species